AUUGAACGCUGGCGGCAUGCCUUACACAUGCAAGUCGAACGGCAGCACGGGUGCUUGCACCUGGUGGCGAGUGGCGCACGGGUGAGUAAUACAUCGGAACAUGUCCUGUAGUGGGGGAUAGCCCGGCGGAAGCCGGAUUAAUACCGCAUACGAUCUACGGAUGAAAGCGGGGGACCUUCGGGCCUCGCGCUUUAGGGUUGGCCGAUGGCUGAUUAGCUAGUUGGUGGGGUAAAGGCCUACCAAGGCGACGAUCAGUAGCUGGUCUGAGAGGACGACCAGCCACACUGGGACUGAGACACGGCCCAGACUCCUACGGGAGGCAGCAGUAGGGAAUUUUGGGCAAUGGGCGAAAGCCUGAUCCAGCAAUGCCGCGUGUGUGAAGAAGGCCUUCGGGUUGUAAAACACUUUUGUCCGGAAAGAAAUCCUUGGCCCUAAUACGGUCGGGGGAUGACGGUACCGAAAGAAUAAGCACCGGCUAACUACGUG
rnacentral:rRNA from 1 species